rnacentral:tRNA from 1 species
GGGGAUAUAGCUCAGUUGGUAGAGUUCUUGCCUUGUGUGCAUGAAGCCCUGGGUUCACUCCCCAGCACCA